rnacentral:rRNA from 1 species
UACGUAGGUGGCAAGCGUUGUCCGGAUUUACUGGGCGUAAAGAGCGCGCAGGCGGUCGACAUCGAUCGCGCGUGAAAGCCCCCGGCUCCAAUGGGGAGGGUCACGCGAUACUGAUCGACUCGAAGGCAGGAGAGGGUAGUGGAAUUCCCGGUGUAGCGGUGAAAUGCGUAGAGCUCGGGAAGAACAUCGGUGGCGAAAGCGCUCUGCUGGACUGCAACUGACACUCAGGGACGAAAGCUAGGGGAGCGAAUGGG